CUGCAGCUCAAGUGGUGAUCGCUAUUAUUGGGCCUAAAACGUUCGUAGCCGGUUUGGUAAAUGCCUGGGUAAAUCGUGUAGCUUAACUAUACGAAUUCCGGGUAGACUGCUAAACUUGAGACCGGGAGAGGCUAGAGGUACUCCUGGGGUAGAGGUGAAAUUCUGUAAUCCUGGGGGGACCACCAGUGGCGAAGGCGUCUAGCUAGAACGGGUCUGACGGUGAGGGACGAAGCCCUGGGGCGCAAACCGGAUUAGAUACCCGAGUAGUCC
rnacentral:rRNA from 1 species